rnacentral:rRNA from 1 species
UACGUAGGGUCCGAGCGUUGUCCGGAUUUAUUGGGCGUAAAGAGCUCGUAGGCGGUUUGUUGCGUCGGCUGUGAAAUCCCGAGGCUCAACCUCGGGUCUGCAGUCGAUACGAGCAAACUAGAGUGUUGCAGGGGAGACUGGAAUUCCUGGUGUAGCGGUGAAAUGCGCAGAUAUCUGGAGGAACACCGGUGGCGAAGGCGGCAUCCUGGACCAAUAUUGACGCUGAGGAGCGAAAGCCAGGGGAGCAAACGGG